rnacentral:rRNA from 1 species
GGGUGCGACCAUACCAGCGUUAGUGCACCGGAUCCCAUCAGAACUCCGCAGUUAAGCGCGCUUGGGCCGGAGUAGUACUGGGAUGGGUGACCUCCCGGGAAGUCCCGGGUGUUGCACCCUG